AUUGAACGCUGGCGGCAGGCCUAACACAUGCAAGUCGAACGAGUGGCGGACGGGUGAGUAAUGUCUGUGACAAUGCCCGAUGGAGGGGGAUAACUACUGGAAACGGUAGCUAAUACCGCAUACCAUCGGAUGUGCCCAGAUGGGAUUAGCUAGUGGGUGGGGUAAUGGCUCACCUAGGCGACGAUCCCUAGCUGGUCUGAGAGGAUGACCAGCCACACGGUAACUGAGACACGGUCCAGACUCCUACGGGAGGCAGCAGUGGGGAAUAUUGCACAAUGGGCGCAAGCCUGAUGCAGCCAUGCCGCGUGUAUGAAGAAGGCCUUCGGGUUGUAAAGCACUUUCAGCGGGGAGGCGUUACCCGCAGAAGAAGCACCGGCUAACUCCGUGCCAGCAGCCGCGGUAAUAC
rnacentral:rRNA from 1 species